ensembl:lncRNA
ACCGCCAGCCGGACAGCAGCACCGGCUGGGGAGAACCGCUCGGAACGAAGUCAGAACGCAGCGGCACCGUCGGGGCGGUGACUCCUGGCCCUCCCUUCCCUCCCGUAGCCUCGGCUGCCGGCUGAGCCCCGAGCGCGGGGCAGCCUCACCUCCCGGGAAGCGACUUACCUUGAUGUCCCACUCCUUCAGCACAGCACCCGGCCGAGGCAGCGAGCAGCAUGUGCGAGCCUCCCGAGCGGGAGAUCUUUUUCCUCUGCUCUUCCAAUGGUAGCGCUUCCGCCAGGAGGGGAUGCCAGCGGUUGGAUGCUACGCAUUCCCCACGGGACACGCCGAGCAGCGGCACAGACGUCGCUGGGGAUCUAAUACAGAGACCGCCUGCAGAUUACAUCGUGUUGCCUUCUUGGGCUGCCGCAGGGAUCAUCUGAGAGGAUGAUUCGGGCACCUUUCAUCAGCUCUGUUAGUUUGGCAACCCUUUGCAAGUCCAGAUGGACCAAUAA